UCAUCAUCAGGAAUCCCGAGUCAAGAGAGCUGGGUCCAAGUCCUCACUUUCCAACACACUAGCUUUCUGACUGAACAGGAUACUUGAAUUUUGCUUCCUUAAAUGCAUCAAGAGAGAUAAUAGUGACUCCUUCUCAGACUUGUUUGUAAGAAUCAAGUUAAGGCAUUUAACAUACCCAGUACAGUGUCUUCUGUACAUGUGUCUGCAUGCUCUCAUGCACCCACACACGCAACUGAGCCACUGUAUUUGGCAUCUGGCUGGCUGGGUUCAGAGGCUGCUCUGUAACCACAAGACCCAGCAGAGCAUGAUUGCUUGACCUAAGCAAAUUCUGUGGCUUCAAGCUUGUUAAUGAAGGGAAGCCCAUCUGGGCUCUGCUUGUUCCUUGGUGGCUUCCACACGGCUUCCUUUCAUCACUUCCAAUCAAUCCAGUGCAUUUUUCUUUUUUCAUAAAGCAGCACUCCUGGUACCAAGUUAAUAGCUGAAUAAACUAGUCUAGAGCAAAUGUAUUUUGUUUGUUCCUCCCCUGAGUCUAUUUGCAGGAUUGUUGGGGAAGAAAGUUGACAUUUCAUACUAUAGUGCAUUUCAAGUGUAUGGCAUGGUUGUUUUUUAGAGGAGCUAUUUUAGUUAGACCUCUAGUUUAGCUGGCUUCUUUAAUUGCAACUUACCAAAACCAGCUUGUGCUGGUUGUGACCAUAGAGAAGGAUGUAUUAUAAGAAUAAAGGAACAUCUCAUGGAAGCUUACAGGCGUGUAGCAGCUUCAGGAAGGAACUGGGAACUGGACAGCCACCAAAACACCUUCGUUGUGGUUCAGCUCUGAAACUUGCAUCUGUGCUGUUUUUGUCUCUCUCUUUGGUAACUGGUUUCAUGGAUUCUGCCUACAAAUUCCAUUGUCCUGGUCUAAGCCAGCACUCAUUUCCACAAAGGAGACAUGCUCAGAAAGAAAGAAGAAAAAAAAAAAAAGGACAAAAUGGCCACCCGGCAGCAGUGGAUUCAUAGUGCUAGUGCCCAGCCCAGGCUAUAACCCUGGAGGCUAAAUAAAUAAAUAAAUUAAAUUAAAUAGUGGACCUAGAGUAAGUCACAAGGUCUCAAGUUCCAGAUGCCAUCAGGAUGCUGGCCAGGCUUCCCUGGAUUGAAGACCCCACCAAUGUGUCCUGGAGCUCUGCUUCCCCAGAGACACACCCUACUAGGGAAAGAGAGAGGCAGACUGGGAAUAUGGACUGACCAGUCAACGCCCAUGUUCAGCGGAGAAGCAAUUACAGAAUCCAGAUCUUCUACCUUCUGCAACCCACAAUGACCCUGGGUCCAUGCUCCCAGAG